GACGAACGCUGGCGGCGUGCUUAACACAUGCAAGUCGAACGAUGAAACCUAGCUUGCUAGGUCGAUUAGUGGCGAACGGUUGAGUAACACGUGACUAACCUGCCCCUUUCUCUGGGAUAACGCUCCGAAAGGAGUGCUAAUACCGGAUACUCACACCGAGGCACAUGCCUUGGUGUGGAAAGUUUUUCGGAAAGGGAGGGAGUCGCGGCCUAUCAGCUUGUUGGUGAGGUAACGGCUCACCAAGGCGACGACGGGUAGCCGGCCUGAGAGGGCGACCGGCCACACUGGGACUGAGACACGGCCCAGACUCCUACGGGAGGCAGCAGUGGGGAAUAUUGCACAAUGGGCGCAAGCCUGAUGCAGCGACGCCGCGUGAGGGAUGAAGGUCUUCGGAUUGUAAACCUCUUUCAGUAGGGACGAAGCGAAAGUGACGGUACCUAAAGAAGAAGCACCGGCUAACUACGUGCCAGCCGCCGCGGUAA
rnacentral:rRNA from 1 species